UUUGACAAUUGGAAGACUCUCUCUCUCUCUCUCUCUCUCUCUCUUUCUCCUCUUCUUCUUCCCUCUCUUCUUUGCAACAACCAAGACUCACCAUCAAACUACACAGAUUGAACCUAAAAUCACCACCAUCGUGCUCCUCUCAUCCUCACGAGUCCAUCCGUACGAACCGAUCUUAAAGUAAUCGAGUUUUGAGUGUCCAACUUGGAGCAACUCCGAGCUCCGACUCGGGUGUACGUUCCUCCAUGACUUUUCCGUUUGAGUUGCAAGGUUUUAGAAGGUUUGGAGACAUCUAGGCAACUCCUCGUGGCCACUAGCCUAGGUUUGAAGUUGAGCCAACAUGAGAACAUGCGGGUUUGAGAUGACGAAAAUAGGGCCUAGAGUUUUGAGGCUUUUUCAAUCCAUUUCUGUCCACUCUUUGGACUUUCGAAAGAAACCAGCGAACCAGAUGGCGGUGCUGGCAGUGGAGGACAGCGAAGGACAAUCGAAGAAGAAGGAGAAUAUUCCAUUAAAGUUAAAAUAAUAUUUUGACGCUGUUAGGUGAGACUUACCCUGAGGAGGUAUGAGGACAAACAAGGCUAGGAGGCUACGAUCCAUCGACGUAUCAGUGAGUGGGCAUUUGUUUUUAUAUAUAGAAAACUGCCUUGUACUUGAAGACGAAAUUUGAGAUGAAGGAUCUUAGGAAAACUCGUUUUUGCCUUGCAUUGAAGUUCAAGUGUUGUUCUGAUAGUACUUUAGUCUACCAGUCGAACUACACCCUGAAGGUGUUACCUUUGAGUAUACCUGUGAUCAUCCAUACAUUAUAUGCAAAUGAG